UCGGCAACGGAUAUCUCGGCUCUCGCAUCGAUGAAGAACGUAGCGAAAUGCGAUACUUGGUGUGAAUUGCAGAAUCCCGUGAACCAUCGAGUCUUUGAACGCAAGUUGCGCCCGAAGCCAUUCGGCCAGGGCACGUCUGCCUGGGCGUCACG
rnacentral:rRNA from 1 species